rnacentral:rRNA from 1 species
GACGAACGCUGGCGGCGUGCUUAACACAUGCAAGUCGAACGGAAAGGCCCUGCUUUUGUGGGGUGCUCGAGUGGCGAACGGGUGAGUAACACGUGAGUAACCUGCCCUUGACUUUGGGAUAACUUCAGGAAACUGGGGCUAAUACCGGAUAGGAGCUCCUGCUGCAUGGUGGGGGUUGGAAAGUUUCGGCGGUUGGGGAUGGACUCGCGGCUUAUCAGCUUGUUGGUGGGGUAGUGGCUUACCAAGGCUUUGACGGGUAGCCGGCCUGAGAGGGUGACCGGCCACAUUGGGACUGCGAUACGGCCCAGCCUCCUACGGGAGGCAGGAGUGGCGAAUAUUGCACAAUGGGCGGAGGCAUGAUGCAGCAACGCGGCGUGGGGGAGGACGGCCUUCGGGUUGUAGGCCGCUUUCGCCUGUGACGAAGCGUGAGUGACGGUAAUGGGUAAAGAAGCACCGGCUAACUACGUG